CCUACGGUGGGCUGCAGUGAGGAAUAUUGGUCACUGGGCGCGAGCCUGAACCAGCCAAGUAGCGUGAAGGAUGACUGCCCUACGGGUUGUACACUUCUUUUAUAAAGGAAUAAAGUGAGGCACGUGUGCCUUUUUGUAUGUACUUUAUGAAUACGGAUCGGCUAACUCCGUGCCCUCAGCCGCGUUAAUAAGGAGGAUCCGAGCGUUAUCCGGAUUUCUUGGGUUUAAAGGGAGCGUAGAUGGGUUGUUAAGUCAGUUGUGAAAGUUUGCGGCUCAACCGUAAAAUUGCAAUUGAUACUGGCAGUCUUGAGUACAGUUGAGGUAGGCGGAAUGCGUGGUGUAGCGGUGAAAUGCUUAGAUAUCACGAAGAACUCCGAUUGCGAAGGCAGCUUACUAAACUGCCACUGACAUUGAUGCUCGAAAGUGUGGGUAUCAAACAGGAUUAGAUACCCUUGUAGUC
rnacentral:rRNA from 1 species